rnacentral:rRNA from 1 species
AACGAACGCUGGCGGCGUGGAUUAGGCAUGCAAGUCGAACGCGAAAGAGGGGGCAACCCCUUGAGUAGAGUGGCGAACGGGUGAGUAACGCGUGAGAAACCUGCCUUCGACAGGGGGAUAACACUCCUAACGGGGUGCUAAUACCGCAUGAGACCACGGAGUCGCAUGGCUCCGAGGUCAAAGGUGGCCUCUAUUUAUAAGCUACCGGUCGAAGAUGGUCUCGCGUCCCAUUAGCUAGUUGGCGGUGUAAAGGACCACCAAGGCGACGAUGGGUAGCUGGUCUGAGAGGAUGGUCAGCCACACUGGGACUGAGAUACGGCCCAGACUCCUACGGGAGGCAGCAGUCGAGAGGCUUCGGCAAUGGGGGAAACCCUGACCGAGCGACGCCGCGUGGAGGAUGAAGGCCCUUGGGUUGUAAACUCCUUUUAUUCGGGAAGAAGUGCGAUCAGGUGAAUAAUCUGGUCGUUUGACGGUACCGGAUGAAUAAGCUCCGGCUAACUCCGUGCCAGCAGCCG